rnacentral:rRNA from 1 species
UACGUAGGCAGCGAGCGUUGUUCGGAGUUACUGGGCGUAAAGAGUGCGUAGGCGGUUUUCUAAGUUUGGUGUGAAAUCUCCCGGCUCAACUGGGAGGGUGCGCCGAAGACUGGAAGGCUUGAGUAUGGGAGAGGUAGGCGGAAUUCCUGGUGUAGCGGUGAAAUGCGUAGAUAUCAGGAGGAACACCUGCGGUGUAGACGGCUUACUGGACCAUAACUGACGCUGAGGCACGAAAGCGUGGGUAGCAAACAGG